rnacentral:rRNA from 1 species
UACGUAGGGUGCGAGCGUUGUCCGGAAUUAUUGGGCGUAAAGAGCUUGUAGGCGGUUUGUCGCGUCUGCCGUGAAAAUCCGGGGCUCAACCCCGGACUUGCGGUGGGUACGGGCAGACUAGAGUGUGGUAGGGGAGACUGGAAUUCCUGGUGUAGCGGUGAAAUGCGCAGAUAUCGGGAGGAACACCGGUGGCGAAGGCGGUUCUCUGGGCCUUACCUGACGCUGAGGAGCGAAAGCGUGGGGAGCGAACAGG